GGGGCCGUAGCUCAGCUGGGAGAGCACCU
rnacentral:ncRNA from 2 species